GUGACGAUAGCCUAGGAGAUACACCUGUACCCAUGCCGAACACAGAAGUUAAGCCCUAGAACGCCGGAAGUAGUUGGGGGUUGCCCCCUGUGAGAU
rnacentral:rRNA from 1 species